AUUGCACAAUGGGGGGAACCCUGAUGCAGCGACGCCGCGUGGGUGAAGGAGCGUUUCGGCGCNUAAAGCCCUAUCGGCAGGGAAGNNGGNNNANGGUACCUGACUAAGAAGCCCCGGCUAACUACGUGCCNNNANCGGCGGUAAUACGUAGGGGGCAAGCGUUAUCCGGAUUUACUGGGUGUAAAGGGGGCGCAGACGGCAGCGCAAGCCAGGAGUGAAAGCCCGGGGCCCAACCCCGGGACUGCUCUUGGAACUGCGCGGCUGGAGUGCAGGAGGGGCAGGCGGAAUUCCUGGUGUAGCGGUGAAAUGCGUAGAUAUCAGGAGGAACACCGGUGGCGAAGGCGGCCUGCUGGACUGCGACUGACGUUGAGGCCCGAAAGCGUGGGGAGCAAACAGG
rnacentral:rRNA from 1 species